AAGACCUUGCGCUUUUGGAGCGGCCGAUGUCUGAUUAGCUUGUUGGUAAGGUAAAAGCUUACCAAGGCUUCGAUCAGUAGCUGGUCUGAGAGGACGGCCAGCCACACUGGGACUGAGACACGGCCCAGACUCCUACGGGAGGCAGCAGUGGGGAAUUUUGGACAAUGGGGGCAACCCUGAUCCAGCCAUGCCGCGUGAGUGAAGAAGGCCUUCGGGUUGUAAAGCUCUUUCAGCCGGAACGAAACGGUUACGGUUAAUACCCGUGACUACUGACGGUACCGGAAGAAGAAGCACCGGCUAACUACGUGCCAGCAGCCGCGGUAAUACGUAGGGUGCAAGCGUUAAUCGGAAUUACUGGGCGUAAAGCGUGCGCAGGUGGUUUUGUAAGUCAGAUGUGAAMUCCCCGGGCUUAACCUGGGGAACU
rnacentral:rRNA from 1 species